rnacentral:rRNA from 1 species
AAGUCGAGCGGUAACAUUUCUAGCUUGCUAGAAGAUGACGAGCGGCGGACGGGUGAGUAAUGCUUGGGAAUAUGCCUUAUGGUGGGGGACAACAGUUGGAAACGACUGCUAAUACCGCAUAAUGUCUACGGACCAAAGGGGGGGAUCUUCGGACCUCUCGCCAUUUGAUUAGCCCAAGUGAGAUUAGCUAGUUGGUGAGGUAAUGGCUCACCAAGGCGACGAUCUCUAGCUGGUUUGAGAGGAUGAUCAGCCACACUGGGACUGAGACACGGCCCAGACUCCUACGGGAGGCAGCAGUGGGGAAUAUUGCACAAUGGGCGCAAGCCUGAUGCAGCCAUGCCGCGUGUGUGAAGAAGGCCUUCGGGUUGUAAAGCACUUUCAGUAAGGAGGAAAGGGAUGUAGUUAAUAACUGCAUUCUGUGACGUUACUUACAGAAGAAGCACCGGCUAACUUCGUGCCAGCAGCCGCGGUAAUACGAGGGGUGCAAGCGUUAAUCGGAAUUACUGGGCGUAAAGCGCACGCAGGCGGUUUGUUAAGCUAGAUGUGAAAGCCCCGGGCUCAACCUGGGAAUAGCAUUUAGAACUGGCAGACUAGAGUCUUGGAGAGGGGAGUGGAAUUUCUG